UGGGGAAUAUUGCACAAUGGGCGCAAGCCUGAUGCAGCCAUGCCGCGUGUGUGAAGAAGGCCUUCGGGUUGUAAAGCACUUUCAGCGGGGAGGAAGGCGAUAAGGUUAAUAACCUCAUCGAUUGACGUUACCCGCAGAAGAAGCACCGGCUAACUCCGUGCCAGCAGCCGCGGUAAUACGGAGGGUGCAAGCGUUAAUCGGAAUUACUGGGCGUAAAGCGCACGCAGGCGGUCUGUCAAGUCGGAUGUGAAAGCCCCGGGCUCAACCUGGGAACUGCAUUCGAAACUGGCAGGCUAGAGUCUUGUAGAGGGGGGUAGAAUUCCAUGUGUAGCGGUGAAAUGCGUAGAGAUGUGGGGGAAUACCGGUGGCGAAAGCGGCCCCCUGGACAAAGACUGACGCUCAGGUGCGAAAGCGUGGGGAGCAAACAGG
rnacentral:rRNA from 1 species